AGACCCUGCAGCCUGUCCCAUUCGGCAGAAAGCUCCUCGCGUCUCUCAGCUCCCCCUUCUCAGAAACCUCCUGCCAACAUGUCUGACACCGAAGAAGUGGAGCAAGUAGAGG